rnacentral:rRNA from 1 species
GAGUUUGAUCCUGGCUCAGGAUGAACGCUGGCGGCGUGCUUAACACGUGCAAGUCGAACGAAGCAAGAAGCGAAGCGCAAGCAGAGGUUCUUGACUGAGUGGCGGACGGGUGAGUAACGCGUGGAUAACCUGCCUUUCACAGGGGGAUAACAGCUGGAAACGGCUGCUAAUACCGCAUGAGCCUCUUUUAUCGCAUGAGGAGAGAGGGAAAGAGAAAUCGGUGAGAGAUGGAUCCGCGUCCGAUUAGCUAGUUGGAGGGGUAACAGCCCACCAAGGCGACGAUCGGUAGCCGACCUGAGAGGGUGGACGGCCACAUUGGGACUGAGACACGGCCCAAACUCCUACGGGAGGCAGCAGUGGGGAAUAUUGCACAAUGGGGGAAACCCUGAUGCAGCAACGCCGCGUGAGUGAGGAAGUAUUUCGGUAUGUAAAGCUCUAUCAGCAGGGAAUAGAAAAGAAGGUACCUGAAAAAGAAGCCCCGGCUAACUACGUGCCAGCAGCCGCGGUAAUACGUAGGGGGCAAGCGUUAUCCGGAUUUACUGGGUGUAAAGGGAGCGUAGACGGAAAGGCAAGUCAGAAGUGAAAGCCCAAGGCUCAACCAUGGGACUGCUUUUGAAACUGUCAAACUAGAGUACGGGAGAGGUAAGAGGAAUUCCUAGUGUAGCGGUGAAAUGCGUAGAUAUUANGAGGAACACCAGUGGCGAAGGCGUCUUACUGGACCGAAACUGACGUUGAGGCUCGAAAGCGUGGGGAGCAAACAGGAUUAGAUACCCUGGUAGUCCA